rnacentral:lncRNA from 1 species
CCACUGUGUCCUGGUGCUGGUGCUUUGGAAAUAUUGAGAGGAAUAUUCAAGCGAAUUAUUUUAUUUGCACUCACCCAGCAAAUGUAUUUAUUGCGCACUGACUCUCAGCUCAAGACUUUAAUGUACCUUGCUUCCUAAGGGGUCUCCUGGAGCUCUAAGGAAACAGACAGGGUAGGAACUGGCAUGUGACAGAAAGACAGGUGAUAACAGCUGAUUCCAGUGUAAUGAGGUCUGGGUGAGCAAGAUGAUAGCCUUAAGCCGGCAGUCACAGAGGGUGUGGACAGGAGAGGAACUAUCCUUCCAAGGUGACUUGAGGUCAUGGUUGAUUUUCUACAGACACUCCUCGCAGCUCUGUUCCCUGGCCAGGACAGGACACGCUUUCUCACCUGGGCUCUAGUCUGAGUGUAGCAUCAAGUCCACGACCUUGUCUGAGCCAAAUCAAUAUAGUCACAUCCUACCCCAAGUGAGGAUCCCAGGUCCCCCUCAUUCCUGGUAGCCUAACCUAUGAAGCCACCUAACCCAGCUGGCCCAAAUUUAACCCCACAAACUUCCAAGAAAGGGGUGGAAAGAAGUAGUAUCCUAUGGCCUUGCUAUUCCUUUCGGGUCCACCAACGGGCAGCAUCAGCUCCACCUGGGAGCUUGUUAGAAAUGCAGACUCUCAGCUUCACCCCAGGUCUCCUGAAGCACAAUCUGCAUUUUAACAAGAUCCUGCGUGAUUCCUACGUGCGCAGUCAAGUUUUGAGAAGCACUGACUUAGGGGCACCCAUACGGGUGGAGAACAAAGCGCUGGCCUCCCCCCUCUCCCCAGCUUCCUCACACACACACCCCAAGUACCCUUGCUGUGGGCAGAAGGAGACUUGGUGAGAUCGCCCCAAGGAGGAGGCGAGUGAAGAAGGCGGCCCUCAGGGAAAGGCGUUUGCCCCACGUUUAGGAGCUAUGCCCUCAAGGUAUAAGACCCAAAAGAGGCACCCCGGGGCCCCGAAGGACCUAAGAAGACUUCAGAGCAUUGAGAGGUGGAGCAGAAAAGGAAAUCCUUCUGACUUCUGGGAACAGAAGGGGCAGCAGGAGCUGUGAGCCUGAGCCAGGCCCUCCUGCUACUUCCUCAAAAUGGACAGAAGGAACCAGCUUUCUCGGGAAACAGGGCUGCUUAGCAAGAGGCCUCGGACCUGCCAUGGGAUGGAAGUAGCAAGAAAAACAAAGCAUGUCUGAGACCGAGGAUGCGAGUCAAGAAGAAGCUGAACUUGGCAGACCAGAUUCACAAAUCCAGGAUCUAGAAAUUUCCAAGUUUCUGUAAGAGGAAUGAAACCCAGCUCUGCAGUCACACGUGCCUGUGAUUUAUCUCCCCUCAACAACAUAGCCGUCUAGGAUCCCACAGAUGCUGCUUUCAAGGAACUUCAGAGGGUUCCUAGGAAAAGUUUGUUUCAAACUGAUGAAACCCCAAAUAUAUUGGAGAUCAAUAAUUUAAAGUGUCAGUAAGAUAAAAUGUUAAGAUAAGAAAAGAAUAUGGCCAAGUCAGCCAUACCUGGUGUCCAGCGAUGCUGAGGCUGCCACGCCUCUGGCAGCACACAUUGUCCAGAGUCAUGGUUAAUGAUGACAGGACCUGAGUCCUGUGAUCUAAGGUGGUGGACCCUGUAUACUCAUAGGUCUGUUCUGCGGCAGAAUUUUUUUUUUGAGGUUCUGGAAAUUUAACCUCCCUUUGUUUUUCCACCUUCUGAGCUUGGAUCUCCAGCUUCCACGGUAAUUUUAUGAGCUACCAAACGAUCAUUCAGACAAUUGAUUUUCUGGUUGAAUGAGAAUCAGUUUCUGUUAUUUCUAACUUAGACUGGACAGAGUUAUUGCAUAAAAUUCAACAAGUCAAAACAUAUUAGGUGGUUAUAAAACUAGGAUUGAAAAAAUAAUAAUUUCCACUUACGGCCAAAAAUGGAAUUUAUAGCAACAAGAUUUAUUCUCACACUUUAAGGAACUAGAAAACUGGACAAAAUGCAAAGAACAGGGGUUUUCACUCACCAAACAGGCAGUGCGAGGCUGCGAUCCCACGGAGAAGGGAACAAGGUGGGCCCCACAGCUGCACCCACUGACUGCCUGGAUGCAGUUUCCAGGCCUCAGCACAGGGAGGGCUAGCCCAAACCGGAGCCAGUUAUCUUGAUGAGUGGAAAGAGACAGAAAUCAGAGCUCAGAGAGACCCAGGUG